UGUAGCUCAGUUGGUAGAGUGUUUGCCUUGCAUGCACAAGACCCUGGGUUCAAUCUCCAGGAA
rnacentral:tRNA from 1 species